rnacentral:rRNA from 1 species
UGGGGAAUAUUGCACAAUGGGCGCAAGCCUGAUGCAGCCAUGCCGCGUGUGUGAAGAAGGCCUUCGGGUUGUAAAGCACUUUCAGCGAGGAGGAAGGUGGUGAGCUUAAUACGCUCAUCAAUUGACGUUACUCGCAGAAGAAGCACCGGCUAACUCCGUGCCAGCAGCCGCGGUAAUACGGAGGGUGCAAGCGUUAAUCGGAAUUACUGGGCGUAAAGCGCACGCAGGCGGUUUGUUAAGUCAGAUGUGAAAUCCCCCGGGCUCAACCUGGGAACUGCAUUUGAAACUGGCAAGCUAGAGUCUCGUAGAGGGGGGUAGAAUUCCAGGUGUAGCGGUGAAAUGCGUAGAGAUCUGGAGGAAUACCGGUGGCGAAGGCGGCCCCCCUGGACGAAGACUGACGCUCAGGUGCGAAAGCGUGGGGCAGCAAACAGGAUUAGAUACCCUGGUAGUCCACGCUGUAAAACGAUGUCGAUUUUGGAGGUUGUGCCCCUUGAGGCGUGGCUUCCGGAGCUAACGCGUUAAAUCGACCGCCUGGGGAGUACGGCC